UUGCAUGUGGACAUAUCUGCCCCUCUUUUCUUUGGGAGUAGGAAUGUAUCCAUAACAUGCUACAUUGAUCAAGGAGUUAUCAGGGCUACCAACCUUACAGUCCAGGUUGAGUAGUAGUAUAUUUCUCCUACAUUA
ensembl:snoRNA Gm24507 predicted gene, 24507